rnacentral:rRNA from 1 species
GAUGAACGCUGGCGGCGUGCCUAAUACAUGCAAGUCGAGCGAACUGAUUAGAAGCUUGCUUCUAUGACGUUAGCGGCGGACGGGUGAGUAACACGUGGGCAACCUGCCUGUAAGACUGGGAUAACUUCGGGAAACCGAAGCUAAUACCGGAUAGGAUCUUCUCCUUCAUGGGAGAUGAUUGAAAGAUGGUUUCGGCUAUCCCUUACAGAUGGGCCCGCGGUGCAUUAGCUAGUUGGUGAGGUAACGGCUGACCAAGGCAACGAUGCAUAGCCGACCUGAGAGGGUGAUCGGCCACACUGGGACUGAGACACGGCCCAGACUCCUACGGGAGGCAGCAGUAGGGAAUCUUCCGCAAUGGACGAAAGUCUGACGGAGCAACGCCGCGUGAGUGAUGAAGGCUUUCGGGUCGUAAAACUCUGUUGUUAGGGAAGAACAAGUACGAGAGUAACUGCUCGUACCUUGACGGUACCUAACCAGAAAGCCACGGCUAACUACGUGCCAGCAGCCGCGGUAACAC